AUACGCCUUGAAUUCGCCUUGGAUUACAGAUGAUGUGGCGAGCAGUGACUACAGCGAAUUUUCACAUAUUUUAUUUCGAAAUUUUGUCGAUUUUAUAGAAGAAAGUAAAAAGAUUUUAUUCGCACGCUAUAUAUUAAGGUGAUGCGGGAUUAAUACGUAUCAAUAAUUGCGGAAAACAUAAAAAGAGCGUUUACACGGGGAACAAUGCAAAAUGUUUGGCUGGCAGAACUCUCCGACAAUGAAAUCUGCGCUCGUGUUAUUGGGUAUCUGCUACGUUUUCUUGCCUGAGACUUGUUCGGCAGAGGGUCUUUCUGAUUUGAGGCUUUGUGCUGAUCCAGAAUGUCAUGAUAUCAUAUCGCUGGGUAGUGGAAAGAUUAAUUAUUCCGCGGGUGAAAAGGGAAUAGUGUCUUUUAAAAUGCAUUCAAAAAUACGCGUAAAGUCAAAGAGUGCUGGUAAAAACAAAAAACUAUGGGGUAUUGAAGUGAAUGGACGUGAAGGUUACGCCCCGAAGGAAUUUAUUUUAGAAGAAAAGGUGUUGGUGAAAGAAAGUGAUUUGAAAUAUAUUGUACCAGUUACAAUACCUGGUUCCAAAAAAACAAUGUCCACUGUAUCGCCAUCACCAACUGUAGACCUCAAACCAUCAGAGAAAUUAUAUUUGCCGAAGGAUGAGGUGGAAAUAAGUACUACGGCACCAUUAAAUCAGCCAUUAAAUGAAGAAAAACUUAUAUCAGUUAAUGAGUCGGAUUCUAGCAUAAGUAAAGUGGAAAUAUCGUAUUCAACGCCAGUUCAACCCUCAGUAGAACUAGUCGACGGUACAACAAUUCCGGUGUUAGAAGAUGUAAUCGCAAAUGCCACAAAUUUGCCAAGCACCAGCGACGAAGACACUUUAACACAGGAACUUUUACUCCUAAACGAAACUACAAACAGAAAAAACGAAAAUGCAGUGGCCGACACAGAGCAGAUAACAUCAAAACAAUUAGUUGAACCGGUAAACCAAAAAAAUUUCCCAAAAAAGCAUGAAGCUGAAGGUUUGAAGAUCAAACCUUUGGACAAGCCUUCCGAUGCUGAUGGUAAUGAUGAAAAUAAGGACGAUGAAGAAGAUGACGACGACGAAAAAGAAGGUGAUGAUGAGAAGGACGACAAUCAGAUGACAAGUGACGAUUUUAAUCAACUUGAAAACAAAAUCGAGUCGCCGAUAAUAGAAGAAGAUAAAAUGAUAAGUUCCUCAGAAGCUAAUGAAGUAAAUAUUAUUAGUUCUAACAACAGAGAAACACCAUUGGGGCACAAAUUGGAUGAAAAUUCUUCAGACAACAAUAACAAAGAAAAUUCAUUACCCGAAGACAUAGUUCAGGCCAGUACAGAAAUUCCACUUUCCCCACCCAAUAACGAAACUGAUGAAAAAGGGUUGCAAACUAAUGAAAGGGAAAGUAGUUCUGCAAGUAAUAUCAAAGAAACGGAGGAUUUGCCACGAGAUGUCAAGACCAAUCCCGAAAAUAACGUUGAACAGCUGCCGAAACAUAAAAUAAAUGAAAUUUCGAACGAAAUCAUUGAAGUCAAUGCUGGAGCUACAACUGAGGCUUCAGGUACCGACACCAAUUACCUGAAUCAUGGUUAUCCGAGCGAAGAAUCAUUUGAUUCAACAACUUUACCCACAGUAUUAUUGCCACAUGCGCAGUCACCUGAAACGCAAGUUUCGGGUGCACCUGAAACGUUGGCAAUAAACAAUUUAAAAGUGGAUUUGGCUGAUAUAAACGAAGAAGUUUUAGAAACAGUUCCUCACGAAUUUAGCAAAGUUCCUAAAACAACACCAGAAAAUAUUUCAGAAAAGAAAGUGUCGAUGAAUUCAAUUCGUUCUAAUAAUACAACGCAGUCAUCUAUAACACAGUCAUCAGAGGUAGCAUCUGAAGAGAAAGACGAUGGAAAAAUAUCUGGUAGUGAGCAAAUUAUUCCUACCUUACCAUUGUUCCAAACGCCUAUGCAGAAUGGGCACUUAAAUCAACAUCAGCAACAAUAUCAUCACGACCCGUAUCAACAUAUGCAAAAACACCAACAUUCAAAUACGCAACCACAGGACCAUACACAGCAAAAUGGUAUAACUGAAGCAUCACAAUUAACCAUAACCGAAAAGACUGAGGUGAAGACUGAGGCAUCGCCAAUUCAACACUCGGAUAGCAACGACCUACCACACGCAUUGAUUCCUAACGAGGCAGUUGAGAAAUACCAGUCACAAACUGUGGAUUAUUCAGAUGCACUAGUAAGCGAGGAGACCCAAUCAGACAAAUAUGAAGAUCCGAUGUUCGCAACAAACGAUGGAGAUAUUCAAAACGACAACGAUGUUGGCGUUGGCUCAGUACAGAAAAUAACAUCUCAUUCAACAUCUGCACCCCCAGUUGUUGAAUCUAUCCCAGCGACACCUCGUCCGGAUGUGGAGAUAAAAGAGAGAGAGCAAGGGCUGUUUGCUACGAUAGUAGGAACUGUCAACACUUUCUUGUCGAAUGACAAAAAAGGCGACAUGAGUGUGGAGGAUGAUGAGCUUCAACGUAUACUAUUCCCAGAACGGCUUGCAAGCAGUAAGAAAGCAAAAGAGAGUGAUGGCGAGUAUUGUGAAAAGCUUACACCAAACGAUUGCCCUUCACAUGUAAUUCGAGAAUUACACAAUGUGGCAGAGUCAUCUUCAAUAUCUGGCUGCCAACUGGAUUGGCGUAAUAUGUCAAUGGACAUGCUGCUGACAGUGGCUGGCAAUAAAAUGCUUGAAAUGAAAGAGCUGUUGGUCUGCUUAGCGACGGUGGCGGUUACGUGUCUAUUCUUUUUGUUUGUUUAUUACUGCUUCUGUAAUAGCAGCCGGGAAGGAGAAUUGCUAGCAAAGUUAAAUGCAUUGGAACGGAGUUUGUUAGCUACACACAAAGAAAAUGCAAUACUAAAAGAAGAUUUGAUGGGCACACGAAAUAAACUAUCAAGUAUUGAAGAUAAUUCCUUUGGCUCAAACGACAUGGUGAUUGCACUCAAGAAGGAGUUGGAGGAGGAGCUCUUGCAGAAACGGCAAUUGCUCGAACAAGUGGGAAACUUAGAAAAAGAAUUGGAAAAUGCCGCAGAAGCUGGACUGGAAUUAAAUAAAAUUGUUUCAGAGUUAUUAAGCAAUCAAACUGGCGAUGAAUCCAUUAUAAGUAGCGUAGAAGAAUUGCAAAAGCAACUAAAUGAACAGCAAAAAACAAUUCUGGAUAUAAACGCCAAUUUAGCUGAGAAGAGUAGAGAAAAUAGCGAGUUGCAGCUUAUGAUUGCCGAACAAAAUGCUCGUCUUAGUGGUGAGAUUGCAUCGCUGCAACAAGAUAACGACGAACUGGAAGUGGAAAAAAGUAAUUUACAAACCCGUCUGGAGGAGGUGAAGCGAGAAUUCGAGGAAGACAUAACUAAGGCACUUGAAAGCAAAAAUUUCGAGAUAAAACGGUUGCAAAGCGAAUUGGUAGAAUUGAGCAAUAAGCUUGAAACAGAAUAUACGAGGUAUCAAACAAGCUUGGCGAAAGUGGAGGCUUUGCAGGAGUGUCUGCGAACUGUGCGUAGAGAUCCCAAUGUGAACAUAACAAAAGUUAUUGAUGUGGCUAAUGUGCGCGCUGAAUUGAUAGACAUGCAAAAGAGGUACGAUACACUAAAAGAACGAUUGGAUACGGAAAUGGAUGGAAAAAAGCUGGCUGAGGAACAGUUACUGCUUGCGAGCAGUGAAAACGAAAAGAUUAAACAUGAAUUUCAUCAAUCGGAGAAGGAUAAACUGGAGGCCCAAACCCGUCUAGAAGUGCUGUCCACUUAUUUCAAAGAGAAGGAGACGCAGUUGCAAAAAGAACUAAGUCUGAAAGAAGCUAUGUGGCUGAAGCAACAAGGCGAAACCACCAGUACCGUGGAUCGUCUCACUACAAUGCAAGAGGAAAUUCAGGCAUUGAAAUCUCAAAACGAUGCUCUCCGCGCAGAAAUUGAAGCCCAACUGGCAGCACACAAAGCGCAAACUGGCACAUUAGAAAAUCGCGCUCAUGAAACAUGGUUGGCAGCGCGACAAUCAGAACGUCGUUAUGAAGAAGCCCGCGCCGAAGCUACAGCGUUGCGUCGGAAGCUCACAGCAUUGGCGGGUGUUGGUGGUGGUGCAACGGGUGAAGCAAAUUUUGAGAAAUUGGCGGGCCCUGAGUUGAAUAAUGCUCCUUCACCUAUACACAUGGAAUCACCCGGUUCACCGUUGUUAGGGCGCUUGCCACCACCACCGUUCCUGCCACCGCCAUUCAUGGGACCACCACCACCGUUUAUGGCUAUGCCUCCACCGUUUGUGCCACCCGGUGAAAUGCGUCCACCGCCAUUGGGACGCUUGAUGUCACCACCACCGGGCGCUGGCAGUGGCGGCAGUGGUGGUAGUGGACGUUUACUAUCACGACGUGGAGGUCGUUAUUCACCCAAUCGCAGUGGUUAUGAAGACUACGAUGAUGACGAGGAUGAGGAUGACUACGCAGAUGACGACGAGGAGGAAGAUGAUUUAGAGGAUGAAGAUGAAGAGGAACGUCUGCGUCAACGCCGCCGUCGUCGUGGAAGCGAUGUAAAUGGAAGUUGGCAUCGUGACGAUUCAUAUUCACCGCCACCGCGUGCCUAUCGCUCGCAAUCGCCAACAGAUAGCCGAUACAAUUACACCACUGAACGUGGUCUGAUGUCGACAUACGAUACCGAAACCGAUUUCGAACCAUCACCGAGAAAACCCGAACGUCGUGGUGUACGUGUCCCACGAACGGACAGCUACCGAGACUAUUCACCACCACCAAGUGCCUCGUCACCUUUGAAUGUGUCCUCCAAUAGCAAUACGGGCAAGAAACAUCCGUCGUCAGCAUUUAGCAAAGGUCAUAUGAGCUCCGGCUCAGAGAAGUCCUUCAAUGCACCGCCACAACGACAUGGCGGCAAGAAGAGCGGAAAAUCGGUGGUUUAAGUGUAUUGGGAACGAGUGGUUGCGUGGGUGCACUAUUAAAUAAUAAACCUACAUACAUACUAACAGAGGUGGCACUAAUUUACGAAUGUAGUUCAAAUACUUAACUAAAACGAGAAUGAACAACAUUAGAAUAUGAACAAUUAACGCCAACAGCAAUAGCAAUAUCAAUGUCAGUGUAUACAAUAUUCCAGUGUUUUGCAUACAUUACUCGCACGUAAGCGACGUUUUAUUAACGAGAUUCUAUAUUCUGCCAAAUGUUAUCUAAUUCCCAGCAUUUCGCUGUUGCACUUAUUUUAAUUUCGAAAUCAGUAACGAAUGUAAAAUUUAAAUCCACUAAAUUAUUACAAACCUAAGUUGUUUUUUAUAUCGGUUUUUGUCAAUAAAACAAUAAAGUUUUUGUAUAAAUCUUUGCAAAAACUGGAGUAAAUGUUCAAAGAGGUGUGCAAUGUGCAACUGUAUGGCGUCAGCAAGCAGUUGUGGUGGUGUUAUGCAAGCUGUAAUCCCAGUUUGCUCACCAUUGGACUUCCGAAUGACGCUUAAGUAUAAAUAAAUGUUUCUUCUUUGUAUGUAAUUAGGUCUAUGUUGUAAUAUAUGUUUAUGAGAAUUCAAUUUUAGAAGGAGUCAUGUAUAAACAACAUCAUAAUAGGAGGAACUGAAUAUCAAAUUUAAUAUUAACGAAAAUAAAUAACUAAAUUCGUACAACUAUAUA
rnacentral:misc_RNA from 1 species